UUACUCGUUUAUCCUGCGAGAGAUCGCUGCUAUCAGGAUGCGAUUUAGGCAUGCAAGUCUGCCUUCGGGCGGCGAACUGCUCAGUAACACGUCGAUAAUCUACCGUAUUGUCCGGGAUAACCUUGGGAAACUGAGGGUAAGACCGGAUAGCGAACUUGGUGUGGAAUUUCUCUUGUUCGUUAAAGGUAACGCAGUACGAUGAGUCGGCGGCGGAUUAGGUCGUUGGUGAGGUAAAGGCUCACCAAGCCGAAGAUCCGUAGGGGCCAUGAGAGUGGGAGCCCCGAGAAGGGAACUGAGACACAGUCCCUAGCCCUAAGGGGUGCAGCAGCUACGAAACCUUUACAAUGCGCGAAAGCGUGAUAAGGGUAUCCUGAGUGCUUGCGUUUACGCGUAAGCUUUUUGCAAGGGUAAAUACCUUGCAGAAUAAGUGAUGGGCAAGACCGGUGCCAGCCGCCGCGGUAACACCGGCGUCACAAGUGGCGAUCACUAUUAUUGGGUCUAAAGCAUCCGUAGCCGGCUUCGUACAUGCCCUGUGAAAUCGUUGUGCUUAACAUAACGACGUGCAAGGUACACGGCGAGGCUUGAGACCGGGAGAAGUUGACGGUAUUCCAGGGGGAGCGGUAAAAUGUUAUAAUCCCUGGAGGACCACCAAUGGCGAAGGCAGUCAACUAGAACGGAUCUGACGGUGAGGGAUGAAAGCUAGGGGAGCGAUCGGGAUUAGAUACCCCAGUAGUCCUAGCUGUAAACGCUGCGAGCCAGAUGUUGCACCAUCCCCGUGAUGGUGCAGUGUCGUAAUGAAGAUGGUAAGCUCGCCACCUGGGAAGUACGGUCGCAAGGCUGAAACUUAAAGGAAUUGGCGGGGGAGCACUACAAGGGGUGCGGCGUGCGGUUUAAUCCAAUUCAACACGGAGAAUCUCACCAGAGCCGACGGCAGGAUGAUAGACAGUCUGAAGGGCUUUCUUGACGAGCCGAGAGGAGGUGCAUGGCCAUCGUCAGCUCGUGCUGUGAAGUGUCCUGUUAAGUCAGGCAACGAGCGAGACCCGUGCGUCCAGUUGCUAACGUAUCUGCAAAGAUGAGCGAGUACACCGGACGGACUGCCCUCGAAAGAGGGAGGAAGGUGCGGGCUACGGUAAGUCUGUAUGCCCCGAAUGCUCUGGGCUACACGCGCGCAACAAUGAUAACGACAAUCGGAUGCAACACCGAAAGGUGAAGCCAAUCCUUCAAACGUUAUCCCAGUACAGAUUGGGGGUUGCAACCCACCCUCAUGACGCCGGAAUCCCUAGUAAUCAGAGUUUAGCAAACUCCGGUGAAUACGUCCCUGCUCCUUGCACACACCGCCCGUCAAACCAACCGAGCAGGCUUGUGGUGAGCCGCAUUGAGUAAAUGCGUCGAACCUUAGGUCAGUGAGGUGGGUUAAGUCGUCACAAGGUAUCCGUAGGGGAACCUGCGGAUGGAUCACCUCCU
rnacentral:rRNA from 1 species